CCUCGGGAGGCAGCAGUGGGGAAUAUUGGACAAUGGGCGAAAGCCUGAUCCAGCCAUGCCGCGUGUGUGAAGAAGGCCUUCGGGUUGUAAAGCACUUUCAGUGGGGAAGAAAGCCUUGGGGCUAAUACCCUCGAGGAAGGACAUCACCCACAGAAGAAGCACCGGCUAACUCCGUGCCAGCAGCCGCGGUAAUACGGAGGGUGCGAGCGUUAAUCGGAAUUACUGGGCGUAAAGCGCGCGUAGGCGGUCUGAUAAGCCGGUUGUGAAAGCCCCGGGCUCAACCUGGGAACGGCAUCCGGAACUGUCAGGCUAGAGUGCAGGAGAGGAAGGUAGAAUUCCCGGUGUAGCAGUGAAAUGCGUAGAGAUCGGGAGGAAUACCAGUGGCGAAGGCGGCCUUCUGGACUGACACUGACGCUGAGGUGCGAAAGCGUGGGUAGCAAACAGGAUUAGAUACCCCGGUAGUC
rnacentral:rRNA from 1 species